UGAUAAUUAGUUUAAUUAAAAUAAUUGGUUUCGACCCAUUAGACUAUGAUUUAUUUCAUAAUUAUCAU
rnacentral:tRNA from 1 species